rnacentral:lncRNA from 1 species
GUGCCCAGGCCAGACUGUCGCCUCCAGCUCUGAUCCACCGGGCCACCCUGGCCCUUGGACCUGCGGCCCUGUGCCAAGGAGGCAGGGCCAGCACUAAUUAUUAUCCCCAUAUUUAACAAAAUUCACCAACUGAGUCCUUGUCUGGGAGAGUGAGGAUGGACAAGCCAACUAUCGUAAAGUGAGCAGCAAUUACUCGGACAGGCCCAGACGGGCUCCAAGCAGACACCAGCCUGAGCCCCUGUACCUUCCCUGGAGAGCUGCACCAGGGGCAGUCCUCGAGGAACCACGCCCGGCCAGGGAUUGACUCUGAUGUCUGCUUGCUUCUUUGGAGUUCCGUUUUCUUGAAAAUCUGGAGGGGUGUGUGUGUGUCGGGGGUAAGUCCUAUGGACAGAUGAUCCUGGGUUUGGGUCACUUCUGGGGUCUCCUCUCCAGGUGAGGGUGCUGGGAUACUUCCUUAGGGGGGCCCAAUUUAGCAAAUAAAAAUACAUGCUACUCGGUUAAACUUGUACUUCAGAUGAACAAGAAAUAUUUUUAGUAUGCGCAAUAUAGGUAGACACAUAGGGAGCAAAAAUAGAUUAGUGGUUGCCUAGGGCUGGGGAGAAAGGGAGGGAGAGUAACCGCUCAUGGGUACAGGGUUUCUUAGAUAGUGCGGAUGACUGGACAACUCCAAACAUACUGACAACCACUGAACUGCACACUUUCAAUAAAUGAAUUUUAUGGUAAAUGCAUUGUAUCUCAAUAAUGAUCCUGCCAUCAAUCUGGCAAUCUCCCACGGUCCUUCCAGGGGCACGUCCUUGUCACCUCGUGGGGGCCUCGGGACUGCGUGUCGGGCUCUGCGGGGUUGGCCCUGGCGUGGUCCCCAGGCGCCCGCGCCGCCUGUCUCUGGGCCACCGGGUGGGUCCUAGGUCGCGGGUGCGGGGCCACAUGACCAGGCUUUGCGUGACCAGAGCCCAGACUCACACGUAAACAUGUCUCCUGGGCACGGGACGUCGGGCUGACCACCCCCAACAACCCUGAUCCGGCAUCGGAUUCGGGAUCCCCAGCCCCUCCGUCACACCGCCCCCGCGGCGCCACAGAAACCCAAAGCACCGAACCAG